GACGAACGCUGGCGGCGUGCUUAACACAUGCAAGUCGAACGGAAAGGCCCUGCUUUUGUGGGGUGCUCGAGUGGCGAACGGGUGAGUAACACGUGAGUAACCUGCCCUUGACUUUGGGAUAACUACAGGAAACUGGGGCUAAUACCGGAUAGGAGCUCCUGCUGCAUGGUGGGGGUUGGAAAGUUUCGGCGGUUGGGGAUGGACUCGCGGCUUAUCAGCUUGUUGGUGGGGUAGUGGCUUACCAAGGCUUUGACGGGUAGCCGGCCUGAGAGGGUGACCGGCCACAUUGGGACUGAGAUACGGCCCAGACUCCUACGGUAGGCAGCAGUGGGGAAUAUUGCACAAUGGGCGGAAGCCUGAGGCAGCAACGCCGCGUUCGGGAUGACGGCCUUCGGGUUGUAAACCGCUUUCGCCUGUGACGAAGCGUGAGUGACGGUAAUGGGUAAAGAAGCACCGGCUAACUACGUG
rnacentral:rRNA from 1 species